AUGUGACCUCAAAUCAGGUAGGACUACCCGCUGAACUUAAGCAUAUCAAUAAGCGGAGGAAAAGAAACUAACAAGGAUUCCCCUAGUAACUGCGAGUGAAGCGGGAAAAGCUCAAAUUUAAAAUCUGACAGUCUCUGGCUGUCCGAGUUGUAAUCUAGAGAAGCGUUAUCCGCGCUGGACCGUGUACAAGUCUCCUGGAAUGGAGCGUCAUAGAGGGUGAGAAUCCCGUCUUUGACACGGACUGCCAGGGCUUUGUGAUGCGCUCUCAAAGAGUCGAGUUGUUUGGGAAUGCAGCUCAAAAUGGGUGGUAAAUUCCAUCUAAAGCUAAAUAUUGGCGAGAGACCGAUAGCGAACAAGUACCGUGAGGGAAAGAUGAAAAGAACUUUGGAAAGAGAGUUAAACAGUACGUGAAAUUGCUGAAAGGGAAACGCUUGAAGUCAGUCGCGUUGGCCAGGGAUCAACCUUGCUUUUGCUUGGUGUACUUUCUGGUUAACGGGUCAGCAUCAAUUUCGACUAUUGGAAAAAGGUCAGGGGAAUGUGGCAUCUUCGGAUGUGUUAUAGCCCUUGGUUGCAUACAAUGGUUGGGAUUGAGGAACUCAGCACGCCGCAAGGCCGGGUUUUUAACCACGUACGUGCUUAGGAUGCUGGCAUAAUGGCUUUAAUCGACCCGUCUUGAAACACGGACCAAGGAGUCUAACAUGCCUGCGAGUGUUUGGGUGGAAAACCCGAGCGCGCAAUGAAAGUGAAAGUUGAGAUCCCUGUCGUGGGGAGCAUCGACGCCCGGACCAGACCUUUUGUGACGGUUCCGCGGUAGAGCAUGUAUGUUGGGACCCGAAAGAUGGUGAACUAUGCCUGAAUAGGGUGAAGCCAGAGGAAACUCUGGUGGAGGCUCGUAGCGAUUCUGACGUGCAAAUCGAUCGUCAAAUUUGGGUAUAGGGGCGAAAGACUAAUCGAACCAUCUAGUAGCUGGUUCUG
rnacentral:rRNA from 2 species